rnacentral:tRNA from 1 species
GGAUAUAUAGCUCAGUGGUAGAGCGUUUUUUUCACAUAAAAAAGGCCAUUGGUUCGAUUCCAGUUAUAUCCACCA